UACGUAGGGUGCAAGCGUUGUCCGGAAUUAUUGGGCGUAAAGAGCUCGUAGGCGGUGUGUCGCGUCGGCCGUGAAAACCUGCAGCUUAACUGUGGGCGUGCGGUCGAUACGGGCAUCACUGGAGUUCGGCAGGGGAGACUGGAAUUCCUGGUGUAGCGGUGAAAUGCGCAGAUAUCAGGAGGAACACCGGUGGCGAAGGCGGGUCUCUGGGCCGAUACUGACGCUGGAGGAAGCGAAAGCGUCGGGGAGCGAACAGG
rnacentral:rRNA from 1 species